GAUGAACGCUGGCGGCGUGCCUAAUACAUGCAAGUAGAACGCUGACGGCAGGAGUUUGCUCUUUCCGGUUGAGUUGCGAACGGGUGAGUAACGCGUAGGUAACCUGACUGGUAGCGGGGGAUAACUAUUGGAAACGAUAGCUAAUACCGCAUAACAGUUGAUGUUGCAUGAUAUCUACUUAAAAGGAGCAAUUGCACCACUUCCAGAUGGACCUGCGUUGUAUUAGCUAGUUGGUGUGGUAACGGCUCACCGAGACGUCGAUACAUAGCCGACCUGAGAGGCGGAGCGGCAUCGCUGGGAUGGGAGCAUGACCCAGACUACUGCGAGUGGGAGCAGUAGGGAACUCUCGGGAAUGGAAGGAAUGCGGACCAAGCAACACCGCGUGAGUGAAGGAGGUUGUCGGGCCGUGUAGCUGAGUAAGAAGUUAAGGUCGUAAGGCAGAGUUGAAAGGGCACAUAAUGACGGUAUCUUACCAGAAAGCGACGGCUAACUACGUG
rnacentral:rRNA from 1 species